GACGAACGCUGGCGGCGUGCCUAAUACAUGCAAGUCGAACGCAUUUUCUUUCACCGUAGCUUGCUACACCGAAAGAAAAUGAGUGGCGAACGGGUGAGUAACACGUGGGUAACCUGCCCAUCAGCGGGGGAUAACACUUGGAAACAGGUGCUAAUACCGCAUAAUUCCAUUUACCGCAUGGUAGAUGGGUGAAAGGCGCUUUUGCGUCACUGAUGGAUGGACCCGCGGUGCAUUAGCUAGUUGGUGGGGUAACGGCCUACCAAGGCUGCGAUGCAUAGCCGACCUGAGAGGGUGAUCGGCCACACUGGGACUGAGACACGGCCCAGACUCCUACGGGAGGCAGCAGUAGGGAAUCUUCGGCAAUGGACGCAAGUCUGACCGAGCAACGCCGCGUGAGUGAAGAAGGUUUUCGGAUCGUAAAACUCUGUUGUUAGAGAAGAACAAGGAUGAGAGUGGAAAGUUCACCCCUUGACGGUAUCUAACCAGAAAGCCACGGCUAACUACGUG
rnacentral:rRNA from 1 species